CGUAUUCGAAAACAGAUUGGUGGUACUAGGUAUACGACAAGUAGGGCGGGACACGAGAAAUCCUGUCUGAAGAUGGGGGGACCAUCCUCCAAGGCUAAAUACUCAUCAUCGACCGAUAGUGAACCAGUACCGUGAGGGAAAGGCGAAAAGAACCCCGGGAGGGGAGUGAAAUAGAACCUGAAACCUGAUGCAUACAAACAGUGGGAGCACCCUUGUGGUGUGACUGCGUACCUUUUGUAUAAUGGGUCAACGACUUACAUUCAGUAGCGAGCUUAACCGGAUAGGGGAGGCGUAGGGAAACCGAGUCUUAAUAGGGCGAUAUAGUUGCUGGGUGUAGACCCGAAACCGAGUGAUCUAUCCAUGGCCAGGUUGAAGGUGCCGUAACAGGUACUGGAGGACCGAACCCACGCAUGUUGCAAAAUGCGGGGAUGAGCUGUGGAUAGGGGUGAAAGGCUAAACAAACUCGGAGAUAGCUGGUUCUCCCCGAAAACUAUUUAGGUAGUGCCUCGAGCAAGACACUGAUGGGGGUAAAGCACUGUUAUGGCUAGGGGGUUAUUGCAACUUACCAACCCAUGGCAAACUAAGAAUACCAUCAAGUGGUUCCUCGGGAGACAGACAGCGGGUGCUAACGUCCGUUGUCAAGAGGGAAACAACCCAGACCGCCAGCUAAGGUCCCAAAUGACAGAUUAAGUGGUAAACGAAGUGGGAAGGCACAGACAGCCAGGAUGUUGGCUUAGAAGCAGCCAUCAUUUAAAGAAAGCGUAAUAGCUCACUGGUCGAGUCUUCCUGCGCGGAAGAUGUAACGGGGCUCAAAUCUGUAACCGAAGCUGCGGAUGCACUUUUAGUGCAUGGUAGGGGAGCGUUCUGUAGGCCUGAGAAGGUGUAUCGUAAGGUAUGCUGGAGGUAUCAGAAGUGCGAAUGUUGACAUGAGUAGCGAUAAAGCGGGUGAAAAGCCCGCUCGCCGAAAGCCCAAGGUUUCCUACGCAACGUUCAUCGGCGUAGGGUGAGUCGGCCCCUAAGGCGAGGCAGAAAUGCGUAGUCGAUGGGAAACGGGUUAAUAUUCCCGUACUUUGAUUCAAUGCGAUGUGGGGACGGAGAAGGUUAGGUCAGCAAACUGUUGGAAUAGUUUGUUCAAGCCGGUAGGUGGAAGAAUUAGGCAAAUCCGGUUCUUCAUAACACCGAGAAGUGAUAACGAGUAUCUACGGAUACGAAGUGACUGAUACCACGCUUCCAGGAAAAGCCACUAAGCUCUAGCUUAAAUCGAACCGUACCGCAAACCGACACAGGUGGGCAGGAUGAGAAUUCUAAGGCGCUUGAGAGAACUCGGGAGAAGGAACUCGGCAAAUUGAUACCGUAACUUCGGGAGAAGGUAUGCCCUCUAAUGUGAAAGACUUGCUCUGUAAGCAUAGGAGGGUCGCAGAGAAUCGGUGGCUGCGACUGUUUAUUAAAAACACAGCACUCUGCAAACACGAAAGUGGACGUAUAGGGUGUGACGCCUGCCCGGUGCUGGAAGGUUAAUUGAAGAUGUGAGAGCAUCGGAUCGAAGCCCCAGUAAACGGCGGCCGUAACUAUAACGGUCCUAAGGUAGCGAAAUUCCUUGUCGGGUAAGUUCCGACCCGCACGAAUGGCGUAACGAUGGCCACACUGUCUCCUCCCGAGACUCAGCGAAGUUG
rnacentral:rRNA from 1 species